CUGCCCCAGUGAGAGAUUCUCUUGCGGACUGAUAACAAAGAUACACUCCAGCACAAGCCUCAUUUUAGGAUCUACAGCUGAGGAUUCGUCAAGCCAGAAGGACUUAAGCAUCAUCCAGGUGCCUGUGUCCAUUUAGCAUGGACUGUUAGCAUCACCAAGGAGCCUUUCAAAAUCCACGUCAGGGCUCUCCUGCAGAUGGAGUGAAUGAGAACAAUCCCUCUGUGAGGUAUGGAGAAUGGCUGGGAGAGAAUUCACAUGGGCAAGGUACUCAGCAAAGAAUGAAGACAGUUGGUUCUAGAACAAUGGCAUAAGCUUAGAAGAUGGACCUUUGGAAAGUGAGAGAGCAGAUUGAAACAAGACUCCCAAAGCCACAAGCUACCCUGGCGAGCAGGCUCCCACAUGUGCCCUCAAGCCAAGAUUCCCAGGGAAGAAGUCACAUACAGAGCUCAGGGGAAACUAACCCAUAUCUAGUCGGCUCUACCUUUAACUCAUUGCAGCAAGAUUGGGGUACCUCUCCCUUAACCACCGGAUUCUUUCUGACUUGAAGAUCACACAGGGAGAAGACAACCUUGAAGGGAAAGACACCAUAAGAAGCCCGGUUAACUGAAUGCCCUUCUUGAACCUGGCCGCAACGACCCCUAGGAUCAGCCGCUGCGUCUCUCCACCUUCAUCUCCCCCAUUCCCACCUCACUCUCAGACUUUAUGUCCCAACCAUACUCACAGUGACUAUCUGGGAUACUUUUGAAACUGAGGACAUAUUAUUAAGUUUUCUGGGGCAGCAAGUGUAUAUCAGUCUGUUCUAACGAUCUGGGACUUCUGGUCUCCCUAGCCAUCUAGAACAACUUAGAGCUCCCAUCACAUGCCCUGGGCUUUUAGAGCCCUAGACUUCUGCAUGUGCUGUUCCCUUUUCUUGGAGCAUCCGCCACUCCUCGCUCUACUUGCAACCUUCCCCAUAAAGGCUAGAACAAGAAUACUAACCAGAACCCCAAGGGGGUAUAUUUCAGCUCAAUAUUAAGAAGAACUUUCUAGCCAAGAAACCUAAACAGAAAAUGAACAGGCAGCCUUGGGCAGUAGAGAGCUUCUUGUCUCUAGAGGUGUUUAAAUGAUCAAUGCUAGCAAACCCUUGACAGGAAUGAGGCAAGGAUGCAAGCCUAUAGUAGAUGAAUGGCCUGAAUAAAUACCUGAGACUCUAUGACUCACUUAUUCAUCCAUUCAGUGAAUACUGGGCAUCAGGCACUGUACCAAGAGCCUGAUGAAUUAACACAAAGUAAACACACCCAUGUAACCACCACAUAGAUCAAGGCCCCUGUAUUUGGUAGUGAACAAGGCAAAUGUGACCUCUGACCUCUUAGAACUUACAGUCUUGCAGAAGAGAUAUAUAAAAUUGUAGCCUGUAAUCCCAACACUUUGGGAGGCAGAGGCGGGAGAUCAUGAGGUCAAGAGAUCGAGACCAUCCUGGCCAACCUGGUGAAACCCUGUCACUACUAAAAAUACAAAAAUUAGCUAGGUGUCCUGGCACAUGCCUGUAGUCUCAGCAACUUGGGAGGCUGGGGCAGGAGAAUCACUUGAACCCGGGAGGUGGAGGUUUCAGUGAGCCAAGAUGGUGCCACUACACCCCAGCCUGGUGACAGAGUAAGACUCUAUCUCAAGAAAAAAAAAAUUGUAAGAAUUAUUGGGUACUAAGAGAGAGUACAGGAGGAGAACUAGGUGUGGGGACCUAGUUUUGUUCCCCUACAGCCAUUUUGUUCUAUGACCUUGGAUGUUCUGGUUAGCUCAGGCUUAUUCUCUCUACUCUGAUGCCUGCUCUUCCAGUUGAGUGACCUUCUGAAUGCUGGCUUAGACCAGUCUAUACCUGUCAGCUCCAGAGCUGUGAGCCCUGCUCAGAUGACAGGUAACUAGGUGACUUUGAUCAUCCCAGGGGAAACAAGUGAGUGAGCCAUGUGGGGUCUUUAACCACACCUCCUUUCUUUCCACUUCUCUUUUCUGAAAGACCAUCAAAAGACUAGUUAUGCACAUCUCAGGACAAUAAAGGCCCAAAAAUUGCUAUGAUAGAUGUACCCACAGAGGCCGGCAAAAGCUCAGACUCUCAGAGCAGCCAACCUUCAUCAAAGCACUCAGUGGUACUGGCCACAAUCCAGAACUCCAGGCACAACGCGAAAAGACACAGCAAGUGAGCCAAGGGCAUGUGGCCACAGGAUUGUCCCCUGCACACUGAUGGGGAAUAGCAUCAGGAUAAUACAGCAGCCAUUCACAAAACGUUUGCUUGAUUUGGGUAAACACUAAUAAGUUAAAAGCAAAUACCAUGCAUCAAACCUUUA